GGCGAACGCUGGCGGCGUGCUUAACACAUGCAAGUGGAGCGACGAACCAGGGCUUGCCCUGGGGCAGAGCCGCGAACGGGUGAGUAACACGUGGGUAACGUACCCCGAUGACUGGGACAACCCGGGGAAACCCGGGCUAAUACCGGAUGUGCACCCUCACAUCAGUGAGGUGUGUAAAGGAAGCUUCGGCCUCCGCGUUGGGAUCGGCCCGCGGCGCAUUAGCUCGUUGGUGAGGUAACGGCUCACCAAGGCAUCGAUGCGUAGCUGGUCUGAGAGGACGAUCAGCCACACUGGGACUGAGACACGGCCCAGACUCCUACGGGAGGCAGCAGUGGGAAUCUUGCGCAAUGCGCGAAAGCGUGACGCAGCAACGCCGC
rnacentral:rRNA from 1 species